rnacentral:misc_RNA from 1 species
UUUCCGUAGGUGAACCUGCGGAAGGAUCAUUAUUGAAAUAAACCUGAUGGGUUGUUGCUGGUUCUCUAGGGAGCAUGUGCACGCCUUGUCAUCUUUAUAUCUCCACCUGUGCACUUUUUGUAGGCCUUCCAGGUCUAUGUUGCUUCAUUUACCCCAAUGUAUGUCAAUAGAAUGUUGUGCCUAUUUAAUAUAUACAACUUUCAGCAACGGAUCUCUUGGCUCUC